rnacentral:rRNA from 2 species
UACGAAGGGUGCAAGCGUUAGUCGGAAUUACUGGGCGUAAAGCGUGCGUAGGCGGUUUCCUAAGUCGGAUGUGAAAGCCCUGGGCUCAACCUGGGAAUGGCACUCGAUACUGGGAAGCUGGAGUGCGGUAGAGGAGGGUGGAAUUCCCGGUGUAGCGGUGAAAUGCGUAGAGAUCGGGAGGAACAUCAGUGGCGAAGGCGACCCUCUGGACCAGCACUGACGCUGAGGCACGAAAGCGUGGGGAGCAAACAGG